AGUAGAUAAUGAACGUGAUACUAAAACCAAGUGGGCAUCAUCACUAGUUGGAAAAAAACAUCACAUGUUUACAUAGUGCACAAAAAAAAGAAGACAUACAAAGGAAGAGUUUUAAAAUUCGAUACCAAAACAAAUACAUUCGAAAUCAAGUAUGAUGGAUACAGUGACAUCACCUGUGAUGCCCUUGACAAGUUGUAUGAAGAUUUAGUAAACGGAGACCUAAUAGUUCUUUAACGUUUAUAUAUUACCGCAAUAUUUAUAUUCACUAAUUGCGUUUGUAUAUUUUAAUAGCGCACUCUGGAAAAAGUACAAUGCCAGAUUUAGCGUUUGUUGUGCAAAUUAGCAGUAUAGUUUAGUGGCAUAUAAUGAUAAGGAAAC